AACGAACGCUGGCGGCAGGCCUAACACAUGCAAGUCGAACGCCCUGGCAACAGGGAGUGGCAGACGGGUGGGUAACGCGUGGAAACGUGCCCUUCGGUUCGGAAUAACUCAGGGAAACUUGAGCUAAUACCGGAUACGUGCGAGAGCAGAAAGAUUUAUCGCCGAAGGAUCGGCCCGCGUCCGAUUAGCUAGUUGGUGAGGUAACGGCUCACCAAGGCGACGAUCGGUAGCUGGUCUGAGAGGAUGAUCAGCCACACUGGGACUGAGACACGGCCCAGACUCCUACGGGAGGCAGCAGUGGGGAAUAUUGGACAAUGGGCGCAAGCUUGAUCCAGCCAUGCCGCGUGAGUGAUGAAGGCCCUAGGGUUGUAAAGCUCUUUCGCCAGGGACGAUAAUGACGGUACCUGGAUAAGAAGCCCCGGCUAACUUCGUGCCAGCCGCCGCCGUAA
rnacentral:rRNA from 1 species